CGGGUGAGUAAUGCCUAGGAAUCUGCCUGGUAGUGGGGGAUAACGUUCGGAAACGGACGCUAAUACCGCAUACGUCCUACGGGAGAAAGCAGGGGACCUUCGGGCCUUGCGCUAUCAGAUGAGCCUAGGUCGGAUUAGCUAGUUGGUGAGGUAAUGGCUCACCAAGGCGACGAUCCGUAACUGGUCUGAGAGGAUGAUCAGUCACACUGGAACUGAGACACGGUCCAGACUCCUACGGGAGGCAGCAGUGGGGAAUAUUGGACAAUGGGCGAAAGCCUGAUCCAGCCAUGCCGCGUGUGUGAAGAAGGUCUUCGGAUUGUAAAGCACUUUAAGUUGGGAGGAAGGGUUGUAGAUUAAUACUCUGCAAUUUUGACGUUACCGACAGAAUAAGCACCGGCUAACUCUGUGCCAGCAGCCGCGGUAAUACAGAGGGUGCAAGCGUUAAUCGGAAUUACUGGGCGUAAAGCGCGCGUAGGUGGUUUGUUAAGUUGGAUGUGAAAUCCCCGGGCUCAACCUGGGAACUGCAUUCAAAACUGACUGACUAGAGUAUGGUAGAGGGUGGUGGAAUUUCCUGUGUAGCGGUGAAAUGCGUAGAUAUAGGAAGGAACACCAGUGGCGAAGGCGACCACCUGGACUAAUACUGACACUGAGGUGCGAAAGCGUGGGGAGCAAACAGGAUUAGAUACCCUGGUAGUCCACGCCGUAAACGAUG
rnacentral:rRNA from 1 species